rnacentral:rRNA from 1 species
UACGUAGGUGACAAGCGUUGUCCGGAUUUACUGGGCGUAAAGAGCGCGCAGGCGGUUCGAUCAAGUCGAGUGUGAAAGCCCCCGGCUCAACUGGGGAGGGUCAUUCGAUACUGAUCGACUCGAAGGCAGGAGAGGGUAGUGGAAUUCCCGGUGUAGUGGUGAAAUGCGUAGAUAUCGGGAGGAACACCAGUGGCGAAGGCGACUACCUGGCCUGUUCUUGACGCUGAGGCGCGAAAGCUAGGGGAGCAAACGGG